AACUGGCUGAGAGCCUUCAGAUGAGAACACUCUGAGCCUCAGUCUCCUUCAAUGGAGGCACUGGACAGCAGGAAGUCAGAGAAGACUUUCAGUGCUAACUGCUCAGUUUUUAUCAAAGCAACUGUGAAUUGUAGAAAGGGGAAAAUUAGCUCUGAAGUAUUUAAGAGGAAAAUGGGGAAUUUUCUUGGAAUUGAUUGAACAUGUUUUAAGACAUCACAAGGAUGCCUCCAAACCUGCUUGACUAUGAACAAUGACUUGUUCUCCUCCAAGGACUAGAUAUGGAGUCUUAUGCUGACCAGGCUGGUCUUGAACUCCUGACCUCCAGUGAUCCUCCAUCUCAGCCUCCCAAAGCCCUGGAAUUACAGGCAAGGUUAUUGAAGAUCACACAGGCUGAAGAAGGGCUGCUGAAUUCUUCAAUAUGAACCAUCCCUUUGAUAAGAAACUGAGUGGGCCUGGUUCUUCUCAUCCCAGGAGAGCUCUGGUGUGCUUCCUGGCAUAUAAGUGAGUGGGAAAGGCUCUGCCAGUCCCCAGUCCCCCACCCCUCUUGCCACUCAGCCUCAAUCUGUCAACCAGGCCAGCUAGCCCGUCUAUUAAUGCUGACAUUGAUUUGGAUCAAUCAAGAUCCCAUAAUUACUGGGAGUUUUAAUCAACUCAUGCCAAUUCAGCUGCCGCUCAAUUUGUGCUGGACUUCGGUGCUCACAAGGAGGGAAGCGGCGAGGGUGGGGUGGGGCGGGGGGAGGGCAUGCAAAAAGGAUUACAGGGAUCAAUAGUCCUUGGUAAUGAAGGACAGCAGCUGCAGGCACCACCAGGGGGCCUGAGACUUCAGAGUGGAGGAGACAGAGCCUGCCCCCAUCCCCCAGGAGAGCUCCCUGGCAGAGAAUGAAAACCACGCCCCUGCUUCACCUCUGCCUACACCUGGAUCUGGAAACCACUUAGGCACUACCAGGCAGCACCUGUUCUCUGCAGGGUCCAACCCUCAGUAUCUCUCUCCACAUUUUGCCCUCAGCCAGGCCUGGCCUCCUCUUCCUGAAGAAUCUUAUGUAUCCUUCAGAGCCAGCAAUCCCAUUACUGGGUAUACAUCCAAAAGAAAAUAAAUCGUUCUACCAAAAAGA